rnacentral:lncRNA from 12 species
AUGUUAAUUUUCAGAACCUACACUGAGAAUGACACAGGUUUUCUUACGUUUCCAAGUUGCAAGGACAGGCUGCAGAUGACCAUGGUUUGUGAGUGUUGCAAUCGACCGACCAAUCCAGUUGAACUUCCGUCUUUAACCCCGCCCAUUCAUAGUAGAAUCUCCGCCCAGGCUCGGGUAUAUGCGGCAUUUGAUUGGAUCCUAGAAUCGCAACCACACCUCUUUCUCAACCAGUUACUUUCUGUCACACAGAGAAGGGUGACUGUACCUGCCCAGAAUAAACCAGGCAGAGCUGGGACCUGAAUAACCAUUUGUGGUCUUUCCUUUCAUCAGUCUGUCUGUGGGUCUGUCACAAGAUACCGCGCGCAAGGUCAUCUUGCAGAAGGACAAGUGCUGCUCAGAGGAUUAAAAGACAGCUAUCUUCACAAUGUUGUUCCGUCUGACACAUCUGCACUGUAGUUGCGUGCUAGAUAUCACCGCAUGUGAUGCAAUCAGUUGUUUUGCAGUAUUUCAAAUGCUGUUCAAGGACUGAAGAAAACAAUGCGACCUCAAUAUUAGCUUUGACAAAUAUUCAAAAGAUUUUCAAGCUUAAGGUGGCACAAAAAUGACCAAUUCACACUUCCUUCAGCUGCUGUUGUGAUGUUGCAUAUCUCAAUGCUUGCUGGCAUGGAUGUUUUUGAAAUAAAGCAAUUAAUAUCUCUCCAUGGCAACAGUACGACUGACGCUGCUGUUUGAAAUGUAAGCUGUAUUAUGCAGUAGCCCUCAAGGUGAAAGAUGUGAAAGGCAAAAUUUCACCAAUCAAGAAUGUUUAACAAAUUCCUUAAAAUGCUAGCUUUGAGCAGCAAAAAUUAGCUGUGCUUGGUAAAAGAAAGUAAGAUCCGUCUUUAUAUUAAAGCAUAUCAAUCAGAAGCCUGACUGCAUUCUUCAACCCAAUUUCCAAAGUUCUCAUUUGACCCUCAGCAGAUCACUGGCACAUUUUAGGCCCAUGAACGGUGAUAUGUGUUAGGAGAGGGAUUGAGCUACGCUUACUGCAGUGUCAUAAACCAUGUGCAAACACUGCAACAGCUGGGAAAGGACCCCUCCCUCUUGUUCCUGCAGUGUUACACUAACAAAACACACGUCUAUACACACACAAUCUUCCCUCUCCCUCCUCCUCUGUCUUUGCUGAUGUGUGGCUUAAAGCUAAGCCGAUGUCAAUGUAUGUACAGGGACAGCUGGGAAGAUGACCAUGCAAUUCAGCUGCAGCUAGUCUCUCUCUCUCUCUCCUCCUUUGACCUUCCUCAGUUUCUCACAUCAAUUCCCCUGCAGUCCUUUUUCAGGUUCUCAGUUUCAGUUAAAAUCUUCAAGCUCUUGGCCUCGGGUCUCAGUCUCCCUCCUGUUCUUUUUAAAGUGUCCUUUAUCUGUGUUAAAGGGGAAAAGCUUUAGUGUUGCUGCGCUUUUACUGCUAGUGCUAUGUGGCACAUGCCCAGGCCAUGUGACUAAGGGCUUUGGCCAUGUGAGAACUUCUGCUUUGGCCUGGCAGCAGAGAGGAGAGUCACAGCGCAAGAGGAUGAACAAUAACACACAUAGACACACACACCAAGUGCAAUACAACAAGACAGUUUUGUUCUCACACUGAGCAUCCACUUCACAAGGCAUGUUGGUCACAGAGCAACAAAGCUUUUCUAGUAAAAAUCUGAAGGGCAUUUUCAUUUAAUUUAUAUGCUUUAUUAUAUGAAUCAUGUAUAUAUUUUAUUUACUUAGAGUUUGGAAUGCUCCUUAGUCAUGAUAUAAUGAACCCUUUUCACCGACUGUGAUGAUGCAUUUCCACAAUGCAUUAAUAUUGCAAAUCUAGCAAAUAUUUAUAUAAAUAUGAUUUUGUUGUACAUUUAUAACACUAUACUUUGUGUUUUCGCACCUUGGAAUUAAAUUGCAUUACAAAACGAGUUAACGCUGCUGUGCAAUAGUUUCUAAUACAAAAGCUGAGGGAAUGACGGCAAAUUUGACAUCUUUUACCCUUUAAUUUGACCAUCACUGGAAAGUCAUAGAAACACUGUCGUGGAUCACAAAAAUACAUGUUUGUUUUAGUUUCAGUUGUUUUAGUUGUACAGUAGUUUCCAUUCAUCAUUACUUUAUCAUUAUCAUGACUUCUGCUUCUGAGAAACCUAGAAAUGUGAAAAUGGUCACAAUUCACAAUAAAAACGAGGCUGUGAGGAUGUGGUUGCAGUGUUGGUUACGUAUCUUUCAGCUCAGGAAUCUUUGAAAAUACGUAUUUCCAAAACAUUCUAGUGGACAAAAAUGUUUCCUUUCUGAAAAUUAGAUGUGAUUUAAUACCCUCAAAGCCUCAUUUGUGUGUUAAAUUAAAUAUGGCAUCUCCUCUGAUUAAAUUUAUUGACAGAUUCAUUAAACACUAGCAUCAGACUCUCUGUAACGUGGCUGGACUCAUAUAAUAAAGAGCAAAUCAGAUAAUUCAAUCAGAACAGAACAGCAUUGAUGGGACUCGUGGCCAUAAAAUAUCAAUUUGGAACUUGGAUGGGUCAGUCAAUAACGUUGAAGGAAGGUCAGCAUAGUAUUUAUUGACCACUGAUUCACUCCCUGUGCCUUGUUUAGAGCAUGCAUCCUCUGUUAAACUAAAUUAAUGCACCUCACUGUGCUGCCAAUUUGAUAUUUAAUGUUUGCAUGUGAUUUUCUGUUUCCCGUUGGUUACAAAAAUAAAAGCUUCAUUAAUUGUUUACUUACAUGCA